UGUGAGGUGACCGAGUGACUAGGUGUUAGUUUGUAAAACUAGUUAGGAAGAUUAAAAUUCUUCCCGCACAA
rnacentral:tRNA from 1 species